UGAGUACGAGAUGCUACGGCAUCGAAGCAGUCUAUGUCAUACUUCCAAGAAAAGCUUGCACUGUCAUAAACAAAGAAUGCCUGUACCAUAACCGACACAGGUGGGUAGGUAGAGUAUACUAAGGGGCGCGAGAUAACUCUCUCUAAGGAACUCGGCAAAAUGACUCCGUAACUUCGGGAGAAGGAGUGCCUUAUUUCUAAGGUUGCAAUAACAAGAUCCAAGCAACUGUUUACCAAAAACACAGGUCUCCGCUAAGUCGUAAGACGAUGUAUGGGGGCUGACGCCUGCCCAGUGCCAGAAGGUUAAAGAAGUUGGUUAGCAUUAGCGAAGCUGAUAACUGAAGCCCUGGUGAACGGCGGCCGUAACAAUAACGGUCCUAAGGUAGCGAAAUUCCUUGUCGGGUAAGUUCCGACCCGCACGAAAGGCGUAAUGAUUUGGAUACUGUCUCGGAGAGGGGCUCGGUGAAAUAGACUUGUCUGUGAAGAUGCGGACUACCUGCACCUGGACAGAAAGACCCUAUGAAGCUUUACUGUAACUUGAGAUUGAAAUUGGACUUUAUUUGCGCAGUAUAGGUGGGAGGCGUUGAGAAUAAUCUUGCGGGAUUGUUGGAGCCAUCAGUGAGAUACCACUCUUGUAAUGUUAGAUUUCUAACUUUGUAUCAUUAUCUGGUCAAAGAACAGUUUCAGGCGGGCAGUUUGACUGGGGCGGUCGCCUCCCAAAGGGUAACGGAGGCGCACAAAGGUUUCCUCUGAACGGGUAGAAAUCGUAUCUAGAGUGUAAAGGCAUAAGGAAGCUUGACUGUGAGACCUACAAGUCGAGCAGGGACGAAAGUCGGUCUUAGUGAUCUGACGGUGCUGAGUGGAAAGGCCGUCACUCAACGGAUAAAAGUUACUCUUAGGAUAACAGGCUGAUCUCCCCCAAGAGUUCACAUCGACGGGGAGGUUUGGCACCUCGAUGUCGGCUCAUCGCAUCCUGGGGCGGUAGUCCGUCCCAAGGGUUGGGCUGUUCGCCCAUGAAAGCGGUACGCGAGCUGGGUUCAGAACGUCGUGAGACAGUUCGGUCCAUAUCCGGUGUAGGCGUUAGAAUAUUGAGAGGAGCCUUCUCUAGUACGAGAGGACCGAGAAGGACAUACCUCUGGUGUACCAGUUAUCGUGCCAACGGUAAACGCUGGGUAGCUAUGUAUGGAGUGGAUAACCGCUGAAAGCAUCUAAGUGGGAAGCCCACCUCAAGAUAAGUAUUCUCAC
rnacentral:rRNA from 1 species